rnacentral:rRNA from 1 species
UUCCUACGGGACGCAGCAGUGAGGAAUAUUGGUCAAUGGGCGGGAGCCUGAACCAGCCAAGUCGCGUGAGGGAAGACGGUCCUAUGGAUUGUAAACCUCUUUAGGCGGGGAGCAAUGCCGGGCACGUGUGCCCGGAGGGAGAGUACCCGCAGAAUAAGCAUCGGCUAACUCCGUGCCAGCAGCCGCGGUAAUACGGAGGAUGCGAGCGUUAUCCGGAUUUAUUGGGUUUAAAGGGUGCGUAGGCGGUUUGAUAAGUUAGAGGUGAAAUGUCGGGGCUCAACCCCGAAACUGCCUCUAAUACUGUU